AGCUGGUUUGAAGGUAGUGAGUUAUCUCAGUUGAUUUUUCACAAUCAGUUACAGAUUAAACUCCUUGUUCUACUCUUUCCCUCCCUCUCAUUGCUGCACUUGACUGGUCUUUA
ensembl:misc_RNA Y_RNA Y RNA